rnacentral:rRNA from 1 species
GAGUUUGAUCCUGGCUCAGGAUGAACGCUGGCGGCGUGCUUAAUACAUGCAAGUCGAGCGACGGAUAAGGAGCUUGCUCCUUUGAAGUUAGCGGCGGACGGGUGAGUAACACGUGGGUAACCUACCUAUAAGACUGGAAUAACUUCGGGAAACCGGAGCUAAUGCCGGAUAACAUAUAGAGCGCAUGGUUCUAUAGUGAAAGAUGGCCCCGCUAUCACUUAUAGAUGGACCCGCGCCGUAAAAAUAGUUGGUAAGGUAAUGGCUCCCAAGCGACAUACGUAGGCGCCUGAGAGGGAGGGGGGGUUUUUAAGAGGGUAUAAAGGGGGG